CCUACGGGCGGCUGCAGUGGGGAAUAUUGGACAAUGGGGGCAACCCUGAUCCAGCCAUGCCGCGUGUGUGAAGAAGGCCCUCGGGUUGUAAAGCACUUUCAGUGAGGAAGAACGCCUGGUGGUUAAUACCCAUCAGGAAAGACAUCACUCACAGAAGAAGCACCGACUAACUCCGUGCCAGCAGCCGCGGUAAUACGGAGGGUGCGAGCGUUAAUCGGAAUUACUGGGCGUAAAGCGCGCGUAGGUGGCUUGAUAAGCCGGUUGUGAAAGCCCCGGGCUCAACCUGGGAACGGCAUCCGGAACUGUCAAGCUAGAGUGCAGGAGAGGAAGGUAGAAUUCCCGGUGUAGCGGUGAAAUGCGUAGAGAUCGGGAGGAAUACCAGUGGCGAAGGCGGCCUUCUGGACUGACACUGACACUGAGGUGCGAAAGCGUGGGUAGCAAACAGGAUUAGAUACCCCGGUAGUC
rnacentral:rRNA from 1 species